GGUCCCGUGGCUCAGCCUGGUUAGAGCGCUCGACUGAUAAUCGAGAGGCCGCGAGUUCAAAUCUCGCCGGGACCA
rnacentral:tRNA from 1 species